rnacentral:pre_miRNA from 1 species
UUAGUACUCCCUCCGUUUGAAAAUACUUGUCAUCAAAACGGAUGAAAAUGGAUGUAUCUACAACUAAAAUACAUCUAGAUACAUCCAUUUCAAUGACAAGUAUUUCCGGACGGAGGAGUAUAUC